ACGCCUGUCGUUCAAUGGUAAGGACACUUGGCUUAUACCCAAGCGAGCAUCUGAUAUAUGCGAAAUCACAGUUCGAGUCUGUGCGGGCGUACCA
rnacentral:tRNA from 1 species